rnacentral:rRNA from 1 species
UACGGGGGGGGCAAGCGUUGUUCGGAAUUACUGGGCGUAAAGGGCUCGUAGGCGGCCAACUAAGUCAGACGUGAAAUCCCUCGGCUUAACCGGGAACUGCGUCUGAUACUGGAUGGCUUGAAUCCGGGAGAGGGAUGCGGAAUUCCAGGUGUAGCGGUGAAAUGCGUAGAUAUCUGGAGGAACACCGGUGGCGAAGGCGGCAUCCUGGACCAAUACUGACACUGAGGAGCGAAAGCCAGGGGAGACAAACGGG